rnacentral:rRNA from 1 species
AUACGUAGGGUGCAAGCGUUAAUCGGAAUUACUGGGCGUAAAGCGUGCGCAGGCGGUUUUGUAAGACAGAGGUGAAAUCCCCGGGCUCAACCUGGGAACUGCCUUUGUGACUGCAAGGCUAGAGUACGGCAGAGGGGGAUGGAAUUCCGCCUGUAGCAGGGAAAGGCGUAGACAUGCGGAGGGACACCGAUGGCGAAGGCAAUCCCCUUGGCCUGUACUGACGCUCAUGCACGAAAGCGUGGGGAGCAAACAGGAUUAGAUACCCUGGUAGUCCACGCCCUAAACGAUGUCAACUGGUUGUUGGGUCUUCAUUGACUCAGUAACGAAGCUAACGUGUGAAGUUGACCGCCUGGGGAGUACGGCCGCAAGGUUGAAACUCAAAUGAAUUGGCGGGG